UACAGAGGGGGCAAGCGUUGUUCGGAAUUACUGGGCGUAAAGGGCGCGUAGGCGGCCUGUUAAGUCGAACGUGAAAUCCCCGGGCUCAACCCGGGAACUGCGUCCGAUACUGGCAGGCUUGAAUCCGGGAGAGGGAUGCGGAAUUCCAGGUGUAGCGGUGAAAUGCGUAGAGAUCGGGAGGAACAUCAGUGGCGAAGGCGGCCAUCUGGGACAACACUGACGCUGAGGCACGAAAGCGUGGGGAGCAAACAGG
rnacentral:rRNA from 1 species